UACGUAGGGUGCGAGCGUUGUCCGGAAUUACUGGGCGUAAAGAGCUCGUAGGUGGUUUGUCGCGUUGUCCGUGAAAACUCACAGCUUAACUGUGGGCGUGCGGGCGAUACGGGCAGACUGGAGUACUGCAGGGGAGACUGGAAUUCCUGGUGGUAGCGGUGGAAUGCGCAGAGUAUCAGGAGGAACACCGGUGGCGAAGGCGGGUCUCGUGGGGCAGUGAACUGACGCUGAGGAGCGAAAGCGUGGGGAGCGAACAGG
rnacentral:rRNA from 1 species